rnacentral:rRNA from 1 species
GACAGAGGGUGCAAACGUUGUUCGGAUUUACUGGGCGUAAAGCGCGUGUAGGCGGCUUUGCAAGUCGGAUGUGAAAGCCCACGGCUCAACCGUGGAAGUGCAUCCGAAACUGCAUGGCUGGAGUCUCGGAGAGGAAGGUGGAAUGCUUGGUGUAGAGGUGAAAUUCGUAGAUAUCAAGCAGAACACCUGCGGCGAAGGCGGCCUUCUGGACGAUGACUGACGCUGAGACGCGAAAGCGUGGGGAGCGAACAGG